rnacentral:rRNA from 1 species
UAAACUAGGAUUAGAUACCCUAUUAUAUUAUAUGUAAAGGUAGGUUUGGGUAGUAGUAGAUAAGAUCUUGAAAUCCAAAGAAUUUGGCGGUGUUUUAGUCUAUUUAGAGGAAUCUGUUCCAUAAUUGAUAAUACACGAUAGUUAAACUUAUGAUUGUAAUCAGUUUGUAUACCGCCGUCGUAAGAGUAUAUUGUAAAGAGUGUAAAUUUUCUUUAAUUAUAAUAUUAAUUUAAGUCAGGUCAAGGUGCAGCUUAUUUAUAAGAGGAAAUGGAUUACAAUAAAUUUAUUUAUACGAAUAAUACAUUUAAAGUGUAAUUUGAAGGUGGAUUUAAUUGUAAAUAAGUUAAUAUUAAUUUAUUGAUUGUAGCUCUAAAAUGUGUACAUAUCGCCCGUCGCUCUCUUUUUAAAAUGAGAUAAGUCGUAACAUAGUAA